rnacentral:lncRNA from 1 species
AAUUGAGAAAGUCUUUGGGGGAAAUGAAGCAACUAAGGGGCAAAGAUUUUGAUCUUAAAAUGAAUGAUAUUCAAACUUGGGUAAGUGCUGCCUUGACUGACGAGGACACUUGCACCGAGGGGUUUGCCGGAAAAGUGAUGAACGGGAAAGUUAAGACAGUAGUAAGGGGAAGGAUUCUGGAAGUUGCACAUAUGACGAGCAAUGCCUUGGCUUUGAUCAACAGCCUUGCCGCUCUUCACGGCUAAAUCAAAAAAUCAAUUACACACUCCUAUAUAGUGUUAUUUCUCGUCUUUCUCAAAGUAUACUUAGUUCUUCCUUUGUUGAUCCCUGAAGUACCAGGGCCGUCAGCUUUAGGUGAUUUUCUUAUUUAAGUCUGUUCCAUAUGCAUUUAUAGAAAAGGUAAUUUUGUGCAUGAUAUACACGGUGCAACAAGAGUAGUAUAAUCUCAGAUAGUAAUUCCUCGAUCAAUCUUAGUUGCAAUAGUGAGUGAGAUCAAAAAAUGAUUUGAAGUUCAAAUGUGGCAAUAGAAUGAUUAGGACUGCGUGCAAUCCGAAAAGCACCUCAAGAGCUAUGAAAAAAGAAAAAAAAAUCAACUAAAGCGAAUAUAUAAUGUUACUUUUUUUUUGUGGGGGGGGGGGGGGGGGG